UACGGAGGGUGCAAGCGUUGCUCGGAAUUAUUGGGCGUAAAGGGUGCGUAGGUGGCUUGUUAAGUCAGGGGUGAAAGUUUUCGGCCCAACCGGAAAAUGGCCUUUGAUACUGGCGAGCUCGAGUGCGUGAGGGGUAACCGGAACGAGCAGUGUAGCGGUGAAAUGCGUAGAUAUUGCUCGGAAGGCCAACGGCGAAGGCAGGUUACUGGUGCGCAACUGACACUGAGGCACGAAAGCGUGGGGAGCAAACAGG
rnacentral:rRNA from 1 species